rnacentral:rRNA from 1 species
GGUAGCCUACGGGAGGCAGCAGUGAGGAAUAUUGGUCAAUGGGCGCGAGCCUGAACCAGCCAAGUAGCGUGAAGGAUGACUGCCCUACGGGUUGUAAACUUCUUUUAUAAAGGAAUAAAGUGAGGCACGUGUGCCUUUUUGUAUGUACUUUAUGAAUAAGGAUCGGCUAACUCCGUGCCAGCAGCCGCGGUAAUACGGAGGAUGCGAGCGUUAUCCGGAUUUAUUGGGUUUAAAGGGUGCGUAGGCGGUCCGUUAAGUCAGCGGUAAAAUUGCGGGGCUCAACCCCGUCGAGCCGUUGAAACUGG